GACGAACGCUGGCGGCGUGCCUAAUACAUGCAAGUCGAGCGACCAGAUGAGGCUCUUCCUCCUCUGACGUUGCCGACGGGCGGGUAAGUAACAGGUGACCAACCUCCCUAUCCGGCUGGACUAACUGCGGGAAACCGGAGCUACUACCGGAUAAUAUAUUGAUCGGCUUGGUUCAUUAGUGAAAGUCGGUUUUGCUGUCCCUUAUAGAUGGAUCCGCGCCGCAUUAGCUAGUUGGUGAGGUAACGGCUUACCAAGGCAACGAUGCGUAGCCGACCUGAGAGGGCGAUCGGCCACACUGGAACUGAGACACGGUCCAGACUCCUACGGGAGGCAGCAGUAGGGAAUCUUCCGCAAUGGGCGAAAGCGUGACGGAGCAACGCCGCGUGAGUGAUGAAGGUCUUCGGAUCGUAAAACUCUGUUAUGAGGGAAGAACAAAUGUGUAAGUAUCGAUGCACGUAUUGACGGUACCUAAACAGAAAGCCACGGCUAACUACGUG
rnacentral:rRNA from 1 species